UGGCGGACGGGUGAGUAACGCGUGGGUAACCUGCCUUACACAGGGGGAUAACACCUGGAAACAGGUGCUAAUACCGCAUAAGCGCACAGGGCCGCAUGGCCCGGUGUGAAAAACUCCGGUGGUGUAAGAUGGACCCGCGUCUGAUUAGCUUGUUGGCGGGGUAGAGGCCCACCAAGGCGACGAUCAGUAGCCGGCCUGAGAGGGUGGACGGCCACAUUGGUACUGAGACACGGACCAGACUCCUACGGGAGGCAGCAG
rnacentral:rRNA from 1 species